AUAUCAUAUUCCCCUCUAUCAGAUCUAUUAUAUAUCAUAUUUAUUAUAUAUCAUAUUACCCUCUAUCAUAUUCCCCUCUAUCAGAUCUAUUAUAUAUCAUAUUUAUUAUAUAUCAUAUUCCCCUCUAUCAUAUUUAUUAUAUAUCAUAUUUAUUAUAUAUCAUAUUUAUUAUAUAUCAUAUUCCCCUCUAUCAUAUUUAUUAUAUAUCAUAUUUAUUAUAUAUCAUAUUACCCUCUAUCAUAUUCCCCUCUAUCAUAUUCCAUUCGAUUAUAUUCCCCUCUAUCAUAUUCCCUUAAUCAUAUUCCCUUCUAUCAUAAUCCUCUCUUUCAUAUUCCUCUCUAUCAUAUUCACUCUAUCAUAUUCCCUCUGUCAUAUUCCACUCUAUCAUAUUCCCUCUAUCAUAUGACUCUAUAUCAUAUUCCCCUCUAUAAUAUUCCCCUCAUAUUCCUCUGUCAUAUUCCUCUCUAUUGUAAUCCUCUAUCAUAUUCCUCUAUUUCAUACUCCCUUUGUCAUAUUUCCCUCUAUGAUGUGCCUCAUUCAUAUUCCCUCUAUCAUAUUCCCCUCUUAUUACAUUCCUCUAUUACAUUCCUCUAUAUCAUAUUCCUCUAUUUCAUACUCCCUUGGUCAUAUUCCCCUCUAUCAUGUGCCUCUAUCAUAUUCCCUCUAUCGUAUGACUCUAUAUCAUAUUCCACUCUAGCAUUUUCAUCUGUAUCAUCAUCCCUCUAUCAUCUUCCCUUUAUCAUAUUUCCC
rnacentral:lncRNA from 1 species